ACUGCCCGGCCCGGAGACUCUUCACUUUUUCGUGAGGACCGGGCGGGGCGGCUCCCGCCUCGAAACAAGCCUGAGGUCCCGCUGCCCUCACCCGAAGUGCGGCUUUGCGCUUACCGGGAAGGAGCACGCUCACGGCAGGCCGGGUCGAUCCUACUUUUUCUGCAGCCUUUGGAAAGCUGCGGACAUGGUGGGGCCGUGCUGAGAAGCCUUGCAGGCGCCUCCAUUGAUGUGGCAAACUGUCUUCAUAGAUGAUCUCUGCCUGCCUUGGGAGAUCCAUAGAGAGUCCUGCAAGGUUGUAUCCCGCACACCUGAUUGCACCCACAGUUGACUCCACAUGUCAACCACACAGUGAAUUUAGCCUGUGGUCUGGCCUCACACCACUCAUCAGCAGGCUCAUCCAUGGGUCCAGAAGUUUGAGCACUACUAUAUUGCAACAAUGUGAUUUCAUCUGGAAACUCCUAAUCAGGUUGUUCAUUUCAAACAUAUUGAAAGCCCAUAUUUUCUAUUAUUAUACUUUUUCUGUUUUGUAAUUGUAUAUAACAGAUAAGUUAAGGCUGACAGGUUAUAGGUAUAUAGGUUAAGGUAGCUUUUCAUUACCUUUUUUUUUGCUUUGGAUAAUUUAGGACUUCUGUUUAAGACACACUGACACAACAGUCCACAGUUUCACCAUUUUUUUGAUCUCUUAUUUACCUAAACUUCUUGAAAAACUGAAGAUGCUAUCAGCCAGCCUGUGAUUCUGACAACAAUAGAACUAUUUUAGACUGUAAGCUUCUUGGAAAAGAGAUUAUAGAUUUGUAUGUGUUUAUUCAUUUCCUAGGAUAUGAGCCCUCAAUCUUGCUAAGAGCCUGGGGGACACUACAGCAACAUGAAAAUAAAAGACUAGAACACAGACCUAUCAGGAAGUCUCCUGCUUUCAGCAACUAUAGCAUGGAUUAAAGGCCUACACUUAUCAGUUUUAUACUUCAAACAUCAAAGAUAUUUAACAACAUGUUCAUUUCUUUGAAAAUGAACUGACACUCUGAUGAACCCUUUUGCCAUCUCUUCAUAUAUAAACCCCUGAGCUACUACUCCCUUUUCAAAAAAGCUGUCACAUUUUCAAGAAGAGGAAUCAUUAGGUUCUUUGUGACUUUAGAAUGGUUAUUAUUCUUAAUGGGAUGUGGCCGUUUGCUGCUUUUUCAUUGUUUCAUGCAGAUCCAGUGAGUAAAGUGGUUCUUAACAAUAGUAACUGAAGGCUGUUUGGAUCAACCAUGACUGAAUAGACGAUGAAGAAGAUUAUUGUGAAAGGCUUUUUUAAUGAUACACAAUAUAUUAAAAAUGGAAAGAGGCUGA